AAGAAAGUAAGAAAGGGCGCAUGGCGGAUGCCUUGGCUCACGGAGGCGAUGAAGGACGUGAUAAGCUGCGAUAAGCCUCGGGUAGGUGCAAAUAACCUUUGAUCCGAGGAUUUCCGAAUGGGACAACCCAGCAGGUUGAAGACCUGUUAUCACUACAUUAGGUAGUGAGGCGAACGAAGGGAACUGAAACAUCUUAGUACCUGUAGGAAGAGAAAAUAAAUAA
rnacentral:rRNA from 1 species